UACGAAGGGGGCUAGCGUUGCUCGGAAUCACUGGGCGUAAAGCGCACGUAGGCGGACUCUUAAGUCGGUGGUGAAAUCCUGGAGCUCAACUCCAGAACUGCCUUCGAUACUGGGAGUCUCGAGUCCGAGAGAGGUGAGUGGAACUGCGAGUGUAGAGGUGAAAUUCGUAGAUAUUCGCAAGAACACCAGUGGCGAAGGCGGCGACCUGGACAAGUACUGACACUCAACUACGAAAGCGUGGGGAGCAAACAGG
rnacentral:rRNA from 1 species